AACGAACGCUGGCGGCAGGCUUAACACAUGCAAGUCGAACGGGCAUAGCAAUAUGUCAGUGGCAGACGGGUGAGUAACGCGUGGGAAUAUGCCCUUUAGUUCGGAAUAACCAAGGGAAACUUUGGCUAAUACCGGAUAAGCCCGAGAGGGGAAAGAUUUAUCGCUGAAGGAGCAGCCCGCGUCUGAUUAGCUAGUUGGUGAGGUAAUGGCUCACCAAGGCGACGAUCAGUAGCUGGUCUGAGAGGAUGAUCAGCCACACUGGGACUGAGACACGGCCCAGACUCCUACGGGAGGCAGCAGUGGGGAAUAUUGGACAAUGGGGGCAACCCUGAUCCAGCCAUGCCGCGUGAGUGAUGAAGGCCUUAGGGUUGUAAAACUCUUUUAUCCGGGAAGAUAAUGACUGUACCGGAAGAAUAAGCCCCGGCUAACUUCGUGCCAGCCGCCGCCGUAA
rnacentral:rRNA from 1 species